rnacentral:lncRNA from 1 species
UAAUUAGGUGAUGUUGGACUGUAAGGACUGGAAGGAGACAACCUUGGACUACUUGGUGAGUAUGCCAGAGACGGACUGUACUUGGCUGACUGCGGGUUGUAACUUGGAGAGGUAGGGCUAUAGCUUGGUGAUGUGGGACUGUAACUUGGUGAGGUUGGACUGUACCCAGGAGAAGUGGGGCUAUAAGCGGGUGAAGUGGGGCUAUAGGAAGGAGAUGUGGGGCUAUAGGAAGGAGAUGUGGGGCUGUACGAAGGAGAUGUAGGGCUGUAUGAUGGAGAUGUCGGGCUGUAUGAUGGAGAAGUGGGGCUAUAUGCAGGAGAAGUGGGGCUAUAUGCAGGUGAAGUGGGGCUAUAUACGGGUGAAGUGGGGCUGUAGCUAGGUGAAGUGGGACUGUAACUGGGGGAUGUGGGACUGUAACUUGGAGAUGUAGGGCUGUAACUUGGAGAGGUAGGGCUAUAGCUUGGUGAGGUUGGAGAAUAUGAGGGGCUGGUAGGAGAGUAGGCUGGACUUGUCGGACUGUAUCCUGGUGAGCUAGGACUGUAAGUAGGUGAUGUGGGGCUGUAACCAGGAGAGGUGGGACUGUACCCAGGAGAUGUAGGACUGUAACCAGGAGAGGUAGGACUGUAACCAGGUGAUGACGGACUGUAUCCAG